rnacentral:sRNA from 1 species
GUCUAGCCCCGAUGGAAGCGGCAUCCUUUUAUGGUCUCGUUUCUUUAACGAGACCAUGAAAGAUAUAGCGGACAGCGGGAAUGAAA